GCUUUCGUGGUGUAAUGGUCAGCACGCUGCGUCGGUAUUUCAGAGGUCCGUGGUUCGAUCCCCGGCGAAGGCG
rnacentral:tRNA from 1 species